GACAGAGGAUGCAAGCGUUAUCCGGAAUGAUUGGGCGUAAAGCGUCUGUAGGUGGCUUUUUAAGUUCGCCGUCAAAUCCCAGGGCUCAACCCUGGACAGGUGGUGGAAACUACCAAGCUAGAGUACGGUAGGGGCAGAGGGAAUUUCCGGUGGAGCGGUGAAAUGCGUAGAGAUCGGAAAGAACACCAACGGCGAAAGCGCUCUGCUGGGCCGACACUGACACUGAGGGACGAAAGCUAGGGGAGCGAAUGGG
rnacentral:rRNA from 1 species